UAAUGAUUCCUAUUCCCCUUCUGGAAGGGGACAGCCGGAAGGCUGGAAGGGUCAUGGGUAAUUGGUAGGGAGUGUAAUAUCUAAAAGAUGAAGAAACUCAAGCUGAGAGAGGUUAAGUGACUUGCUCAAAGUAACAAGCUGGAAAGCCCGAAGCAAUGAUUAGGUCUGUUGCUAAGGAUUAAGCCACCGAAUUAUGGAUGGAAAGAAUGUCACCUCCUCCUCCAUAAAGGACUGUUCCUCUCAGCUGGACAACCAAGGUCCCAAUUCCUCUCCCCUUCCAAAUCAAGGAAAACAUUUUAAUUAUGACUUCAACAACUGUUCUAGACAAGUCCAGAGAUAGAUUGCCCCGGGAAUUAUUUUCUCUAAAAUGAACUGCAAGUGUUUACCAUAAAUAUAUGUUUAAUAUAUGUUCUGCUUAUGUCUGGGGCCAGGCAGCAUAAAAUUACUUUACUGGC